GGAACAAGGACAGUAUCAGUCGCUUCACCUGACGCUUAAGAAGUUAGUUGUGGUCGCUAUGAAUUACCUCCGAGCCUUGAUGAUGGUGGUGGUGGUGGUGGCCACGGUGGCAAUGGCCAUGGCUUACCCAGACCCUGUGAGUCAGUAUGGAUACGGUGGCGGUAGAAUUCGGCGGCGGAUUCGGCGGCGGAUUCGGCGGAGGAUUUGGUCGUGGUGGAUUUGGUCGUGGCGGAUUUGGUCAUGGUGGAUUCGGUGGCGGUAGAUUCGGAGGCGGCUUUGGCGGUCAUCAUGGCGGCUUUGGUCAUGGUUAUGGUGGUGGCUUCGGCAAGUAGAGAGGCAGUUGGGCGGCUGGACGGACACAACAACGACACCUGACCCUGAGAAUGACCCCAACAACGAGCCUCGUCUACUGGCGACACACCUGAUGGCCAACUUGUAAACAUCUGCACUAAAGUUAUCUCUCACCAACAUUUAUGAAUAAUAAAUAGAGUCAAACAGA